UAAAAAUCUUAUUUUACAUUGCCAAUAGAUUCCGAUUUCGGAAAUUCUAGAUUUCAAGAUUCUAUAGACGAUUAGAAUUCCAACGCCAGUUUAGCAUGAUAUUAUAAUUUUAUUAAUUUUUAACCGAACAUCUGAACUCCAUAAAAAAUAACAAACCAUAUAAACUACCUUUUCUCAAAAACCAAAUUAAUGGCGUUUACUCAAUUGUAAGAACAGAGCAGAGUCGAUGAGUUUACUUCCACUGAUCCCGCAAUUGGAAAGGGAAAGAGGAGAAACUGUGCAGUGCGAGAGCUUCAAUAGAGAAAUUGAUUGCCAGUAUGGAUAAUCAUAAACAGGUUAGCCAUAUUUAAUCUAAUUUAUCAUUCUUAUAAUUGUAAUUAGGGUCCACUCGAUGAUGAUUUUUAAUUCCCGUUUUAAGAUUUGAAGAAUGAGAGAAAAGCCAAGUGAUCUGUUUUUCAUUCUAAUAACAAUGCCAACUGCUCUCAGUUUCAAGCUGAGGUUGACGAAUUAGUAAGAUAUCGGCUGCGUGGGACGUCGAGAUUCCCUCUGAGGAUAUGGACCACGUAUGGUCCGAUUCACUGGAGAUACUGAAAUCGGCAAAGAAGUUAUAGAUAGGAUAUGACAGAGUCCCUUCUUACAGUAGGGAAAUCAUGGGAAUUGGCUAAAUUCAUGUUGCUAGUUUUGUAUCAUGUUUUAGUUUAGAGAUGUGCAAUUCUCUGUGCAUGAAUUAUGUGAAUAUUUCUGUGCUAGUAACGACUAGAAGUGCAACUAAGAGCAGCUCUGUCUGUAAAACAGCAGAUUGAUGCUGCUUUAUUUCUUUUCUAGAUGGUCACUUUUGUUCUUUUGGAUUUGACAGCAGCUUAACUUGUUAUCGAUCUACUACACUGACAUGUUGUGAAUUCUUCAAAUAAUUCUCUUUUCAUAAUUUCUUAGAAAUUCUUUUUGAUAUCUUGUCACGUGACCAUUUCCAUGUUCUACUUGUUAAUUGUCAAGAACUGAGUCUGUUUAAUUGAAAGCUUAUGGUAAAUAUAAAAGUACUUUGGUUUUAGAUAGGAUUUUCCAUUCUAAUGAGUUCAUGUUAUUUUUGAAUUUAUACUACUUCACGAUACUUGAUACCAGUAUGAGGUUGACAGAAUUGGUUAUGUCCUAUUAUUGUGGAGCUAUUUGUGUCCAACCCAAUUUAUGCAUGUAAUCACUGAGAUGCAGCCUUAACAACCUCUCUUUGAACCUCCAUGAAUAUCCAUACCUUGAUUAAAAUCCUGGAAACAAUGACCUUCCUCAUUGUCAUUCAUGCUUAUUGUUUUUCUAGCUCUCCUUGUCUUAGUAGUGCACUGAAGUUGCUAUGCUAGUGGCCAAUAUAUUCCAUGACUUCUUAUCUUAACCUCAAUUUGUUCCACUCUAGGUUACCACAAUUUGUUCUAUUUCUUAUUAGCAUCAGUAUUCUCAUCCAGGUGCUUACAUUCGCUUCAGAAGUUGCAUAUUUUAAAUGAUUCAUCAUGCUUUUUUUUUUUCUGACAAGAUCAUCAUGCUGUGUAGGGCGCUAUUGCAGUCUCUCAUUCAAUGUAAACAAUUGACUAAGAAUCACAUAUCUGCUUCCUGUUUGGUUCAAUUCCUUGCCUUUAAAUUUCAUAGAAUUCAAUUGAAUGCUGAGCUUUGUGUGUUUGGUUUGAAUAAAAAUAUUCAGUUCUAGGAAUUCAAUUUUAUGGAAUUAAUUAUCACUAAAACCAAUUCUCAUAAAAUUUAAUGGAAUUUAAAAUGAAUUUCAUAAAGAUUGCAUAAUAAUAUUUUGUGGACUAAAAUACCUAUAUGAAAGACUUUUCCUCAAUUAUCAUUUUUUAUAUUUAUAAAUUAACUAAAUAACUAAAUCCUAAUAAUUGAUUAAAAAAUAUCAAUUUUAACUCUCAUGUUUUCAACUUUUUCUAAAUUUUCUAUAUUACCUUGUAUUUAUUAAACAAAAACCAUAAAUGCUCAUUAAAUUAUUAGCAAGGUAAAUGGUUGAGAUUUUUUUUUUUUAUAUUUUUUUUACCGUGUGAUGAUGGUAUCAAACUCCAUUAGUUAUGGAAGAAGAUAGAAAUCACAAAUUAGCUUUCUAUCUAUUUACUAUUAGUAAUAUCUAGAGAACUAUAUAAAAUAUUUUAUUUUUGUCCUAACUUUGAAAUAUAUAAGCUUAUUAUCCAUCAAGUAAUGUCAUUAUUUAUGUUAUUAUAUAAAAUUCUAAUAUUAUGAGACAUGUUAAUUUGUUUUGAAUUCAUAUUGGUACUGGGUUUAUAUGUUUAUUAUUAUUAUCUUUUAAGAAUAAUGUUUGUUAAUUAUUAUAAAUUAAUUAUGAAUAAGAUUUUUUAUAAUAGAAAAUUAUAAUUUUUUAAUUUUACUCUUAAGGAUAGUUUAGAAAUGAGAGCAAAUGAAUUUCAAUUAUGGUAUCAAGCCAAAUGUGAAUUAUGGAGUACAAUUGAAUUUUGUAUUUUAAGUUAUAUUGAACCAAAUAGUUGAAUUCAUUUUAAAUGAAUUUUAUAUGGAAUUUAAUUGAAUUCUACAAAAUUCUGAUUCAUCGUUGAGCCAAACACUGUGCAAGUGUGAAACCGAGGUGAAGCUUUAUUUUUCUGGUGUGAAUGUCAGUUUCCAGAGCUGAAUGCUCAUAUCUGGAUUUUAUAUACAUAUGUGGUUUAUGGGCCUCAUAUUCAUUAUGUUUUUGUUGAAUCUAUCUUUGCCAGCAAAUAUCAUGCAACUAUAGUGCUCUUUUGGAGAUUAAAGAAUUGAUGCUAAAUGAAACCUUGUCAAACUCUAGUUGGCAACUGAAAUUAUGAUGUCAAACUGAUAUAAAGUGGUGGCCAUGAAUCCCUUUUCAAGAUGCCAUUACUAGUACUGAUAGCUGCAUGAAGCUGGUUGGUUCCAUGGAAGCUAUUGUAAAGAGUCAGCCUGCAAUUAUGAUCUUCUCUCAUAUAUGAAACCGGGAGAAAAUAUCAACGUGUACAUUUUCCAAAAGCUUCCCAUGAUAUUAUAUUCCUAUUGCUAUUGCUGGCAGAUUAAUUGCAUGAACAUGCUUUGUUGUUGUUGAGGAGAGUAAUUGCUGCUGAAUGCAUCUUACAGAAGCUACAAAAUGUGCAGUGCAACCUUCAGGAAGAGCAGCGCUGCAGCAGGCUUGUGAUGCAGCAGUGCAGAGCAAAGGCACAGCUACUCUCUGUUAAAGACUUUCAGGUAAUCCUUGUUUUGAUAAUUCCAUAAUGGGUAUUGCAGGAGUACUCCAACACAAAACAUUGUGUAAUACUUGGUUCAUAUUUCAGUGCUUUGUACUACUCAAAACUUGCUGCUACAUUUCCUGAGGGUUUGUUCUACUGUAGCUGGUGUUUAUUUGAUGUAAACAAAAUCAACGAAUUUUGUCAUGGUGAUUCAUCACUGGUGUUUACAUCAUAUGUAGUGCUGUUAAGUGCUAUGAAUUGGGUUCCCAAUUCUCCUUUUGGUGCAUCAUGUUGAUACUUGAUAGUGAAGAAAUGCACUGGUUAUUUUUACAACCACCAUUAGAUAUCGUGUACAUUAAGGAGUAGAAAUAAUUUUUGAUUCAAUUUCUCAUUUUUAACAAAAUUGCUUGGCAAGUAGGAACUGCCCAAAUUUUCUUGUGGAGAGCACAUUAUGGACAUCUCAAGUCGAAGUGGAAAUUUCUGAGGAAUGCACACAGACUAAGACUUCAGAGCCAAAGUUGUGUCAGAAACAAUACUGUGUGCAGUCGAGUUGUUUAUGCAUUAUUACUGCAAUAACUCCUGCAGUCCUGGCCUGUUAUAUCAGAGAUGGCAUUGGAAAUUUUGUAAGACUGAACAAUGAUUUGCAUAUGCUUUUCUCUCUCUCUUCUUUUUUUUUGUUGGGUCUUUUUUAAAGUUGUCUAGAGUUGUUUGAGAACAUGUAUUGGUCUGUUAAAUCACUAAAAAGCAACCUUCAUCUAGUGAUUUUUCAUCUUUUUUUGGUCAGAGUUAAAAGGAUAGGUCAUUGAGAGAAUUGAACCAGGACCUUCCUUGUUCAACUUUGGUUUUAUUAUCAUCGAACUAAGCCUGAGACUGCUACUGAAAUCCAAAAUGAUAAAAAGAAAAUAAAAACAAUAUUCAGCAUUCAAAUACAAUUUUGUCUUGCAGGAGUAAAAAUAGAGAAUGAUUAGUGUCCUGUAGUUAGCAAGAAGGUUAUACCCCACAAUCUAACCAUAGAAGAAGGUAUAAAGAUACAAGUUGGCUGCUAUAUGCUCCAUUAAGAUUCCUAUUUACUAACUGCUGUGCUUUAGCUUCAGAAACCAGAUACUUCCCAUUUGAUCUCCCAUGGAAACAAAACUCCUUGAUAAAGACAAAGCUUAGCUGGGCCAUUAACCAGCAGCAACAAGAGUAGGAGCCAUGGAUCUUAGCUAGUGGGACGAAAAGGCAGACUUGUGAGUUCGGGGGUUGACGUGAGAGGUGGCUGUCAACUCCAUAUCUCCUCUGCACGCACAUGCGAAUGUUAAAAACUGAAGAUCCCUCUGGUUGAGUUACAACUACAUCCUGCUUGUCGAGAUUGGACUAUACUUCCUUAUCUGUUAUGUAAGUGUUUCAUGUACUUGUUAUAUUAAGAGUUUGAUUCAAAAUUUGUGAUCAAAUAUCAUCAUUUAAUUCAGACCAACAGUUAAAUUUUGAAUAUAUAAUGGUUUAUUCUUGAAAAAUUAUUUGAAAUGUUAAUUAUAUUGCUUACUGGGAACUCACUCAUCUAGUUCCAGGGCUUUGCAUGAAUGUUUUAGACCAUAACCUGCAGUUGUAACAUUGAAUUUUCGAUUUUUCUAUAUUUAUUAUAAUUUUUAGUUUUUGUGAAAAAGCGUCCAGUCUCAUGCACGUCCAAAUAUGAAUAAGGACAAAAAUAAGGAAGACUCAAAUUUUGAAAAAACCUGGUGCUUUGGAGUGAUUGUGAUGUACAAGUUUUCCAUCCUCGAGAUUCUUCAAGCUUGUUAUGUCAUGAAAAGAUAAAAUUUUCCAAUGUAAUUAUAGGCGUAAUAGUUAUAAAUAGUGCUGAGUAUAGAGUGUACGGUAUAAUGAAUUAGGUGAAUUUGGUAUUUGUCAGUUUUAAUAGGAAAAGUGUGAGUGAUAUUAGAAGAUAUUAAAUUGAUUUUGCUUUUAGAUUAUGAAACAGUUUCACAAAUUUCUAUUUAAUAAUUUUUAAAUUUCUCGUCAUAAAAAAUUAGAGUAACGAUAGUUUUUAUAUUACAUAUUACCUUAUUGUUUACUGUGAAUUUCUUAUAAAUAUAUACGAGAACGUUAUAAUAUUUAGAUAUUAUAAUAAAAUUUUAUUUAAAUCGACUUUUACUGCAAAAUUAAAUUUUAUAUACCUUGUUUUUCUUGUGAUUAUUAUUAUAUUAAUUUACUGUAAUUACAGUCUUGCAAUAUAAAUAUUUUGCUGGUCAAAAAAGAUUUAGUGUAGAAUUACGAAGGUGAAGGCAAUUUCCAACUGAACUACGCAAGCUCAACUGCUUUCUCUCUCUCUCUGUGUUGAAGCCACCCCAAGGAAAACCUCCAUAGAUGAAGAGGUCCAAAUUGUCGUAUAAGUGCUUGAUUGGUUCAUCUGACGUAGUUAGAAGUAGUAUUCCAUGCGAGGCAAAGUAUUCAUGCAGACAAGUCAAGUCUAGCAGGCUGUUUUUGUCCUAUUCUUCUUCUUCCUAUGACUAUUGUUCUUAAAAAAAAAUAAAUUCAUAUAUAAUUAAAUAAUAAUUAUGUACAGAUUUCCUAUCAUGAUUCUAUGAAUAAGGACAAGUGUUAGGUUUGGCUUCCAUAUUGUGAAA